GGAAGGGGUGUAUUUAUUAGAUAAAAAACCAAUGCCCUUCGGGGCUUUUUGGUGAUUCAUGAUAACUUUACGGAUCGCAUAGCCUUGCGCUGGCGACGGUUCAUUCAAAUUUCUGCCCUAUCAACUUUCGAUGGUAAGGUAUUGGCUUACCAUGGUUUCAACGGGUAACGGGGAAUUAGGGUUCGAUUCCGGAGAGGGAGCCUGAGAAACGGCUACCACAUCCAAGGAAGGCAGCAGGCGCGCAAAUUACCCAACCCCGACACGGGGAGGUAGUGACAAUAAAUACUGAUACAGGGCUCUUUUGGGUCUUGUAAUUGGAAUGAGUACAAUUUAAACCUCUUAACGAGGAACAAUUGGAGGGCAAGUCUGGUGCCAGCAGCCGCGGUAAUUCCAGCUCCAAUAGCGUAUAUUAAAGUUGUUGCAGUUAAAAAGCUCGUAGUUGAAACUUGGGCCUGGCUGGCGGGUCCGCCUCACCGCGUGCACUCGUCCGGCCGGGCCUUCCUUCUGAAGAACCUCAUGCCCUUCACUGGGCGUGCUGGGGAACCAGGACUUUUAC
rnacentral:rRNA from 1 species